GGCCGACUAGCUCAGCUGGUUAGAGCGUCGUGCUAAUAACGCGAAGGUCUUGGGUUCGAUCCCCACGCUGGCCA
rfam:Galerina marginata CBS 339.88 GALMAscaffold_5_Cont194, whole genome shotgun sequence.